rnacentral:rRNA from 1 species
UCGCUAGUAAUCGCGAAUCAGAAUGUCGCGGUGAAUACGUUCCCGGGUCUUGUACACACCGCCCGUCACACCACGAGAGUUUACAACACCCGAAGUCAGUGGCCUAACCGCAAGGAGGGAGCUGCCUAAGGUGGGGUAGAUGAUUGGGGUGAAGUCGUAACAAGGUAGC